rnacentral:lncRNA from 1 species
UUAAAAGGGAAGGUAAAUUCACACACAAGAAUUACUUGAACAAGCAUACUGAAAAAGGAUAAAAACUUAAUGUGUAAGUGUAACCCAAACUUGAAAAAACAUGGAUAGUACUCAUGGAGUAAAUUUUAGAGCAUUCACAAUUUCUUUAUACUUCUCUUAAACAUGCAAAGCAAUGCCAUGAGCCUAAUGUUGUUAUUCCGGUACUAGGCAGUGGCGCAAUACUAUCUAACCCCCAGAUGGGACUAUAUUUGGGAUCCAUUGCGAUUGUAGUGGUUGAUGAAACGAAGUUCGACACAUUAUUCAUAUCUCCUUUGUUAGCUUCAACUUCGGAAGCGCAUUGAUAUGGAUGAAGCAAAUAUACAAAAUAAAAAGAAUCUUCUGCAACAGUCACAUGCUCUUAGCACUCCCCCCUCCCUAUCUAACCCCCAGAUGGGACUAUAUUCGGGAUCCAUUGCGAUUGCAGUGGUCGAUGAAACAAAGUUUGACACAUUAUUCAUAUCUCCUUUGUUAGCUUCAACUUCUGAAGCGCACUGAU